rnacentral:rRNA from 1 species
AUUGAACGCUGGCGGCAGGCCUAACACAUGCAAGUCGAGCGAGCGGCGGACGGGUGAGUAAUGUCUGGGAAACUGCCUGAUGUAGGGGGAUAACUACUGGAAACGGUAGCUAAUACCGCAUACCAUCAGAUGUGUCCAGAUGGGAUUAGCUCGUAGGUGGGGUAACGGCUCACCUAGGCGACGAUCCCUAGCUGGUCUGAGAGGAUGACCAGCAACACUGGAACUGGGACACGGUCCAGGCUCCUACGGGAGGCAGCAGUGGUGAAUAUUGCACAAUGGGAGCAGGCCGGAUGCAGCCAUGCCGCGUGUGUGAAGAGGGCCUUCGGGUUGUAGAGCACUUUCAGCGGGGAGGCAUUACCCGCAGAAGAAGCACCGGCUAACUCCGUGCCAGCAGCCGCGGUAAUAC